rnacentral:rRNA from 1 species
CCAAUAGCGUAUAUUAAAGUUGUUGCAGUUAAAAAGCUCGUAGUUGAACUUCGGGGUUUACUCAUUGGUCAGGCUUAAUUGUCUGUACUGGUGAGAUGAAUCUCUACCUUCUGAGGAACUUUCAUGCCAUUUAUUUGGUGUGGUUGGAAAUCAGGACUGUUACUUUGAAAAAAUUAGAGUGUUUAAAGCAGGCUAACGUCUGAAUACAUUAGCAUGGAAUAAUGAAAUAGGACGGAUUGAUUCUAUUUCGUUGGUUUCUAGGGUCACCGUAAUGAUUAAUAGGGAUAGUUGGGGGCAUUAGUAUUCAAUUGUCAGAGGUGAAAUUCUUGGAUUUAUUGAAGACUAACUACUGCGAAAGCAUUUGCCAAGGAUGUUUUCAUUAAUCAAGAACGAAAGUUAGGGGAUCGAAGACGAUCAGAUACCGUCGUAGUCUUAACCAUAAACUAUGCCGACUAGGGAUCGGACGAAGUUAAUUAAUAAUGACGCGUUCGGCACCUUACG